GGGGGGUCUGAAUUAGAAAGAAGAGAUUGAGAUUAUAAGUUAAGAAAUUGUGGUUUUAGAAUUUGAGGUUUGGAACGGAAAGAAGAGAUUGAGGUUAAAGGGAAGAUGGGUUUGGGGUUUGGAAUAUAUGAAGUAGAAGAUAAGGAAGAUGGGGUUUGGGGUUUCAGAUUUUAGGGAUUUAAACAUAAUCCUCGUUAUUUCCUCGUAAACUAACG
rnacentral:lncRNA from 1 species